AAGGGCACCAGGAACUGGACCAAGGUCUUCCAUAUGAGUGGCAGGAACCCAAUGACUUGAGCCAUUACUGCUGCCUCCCAGGGUCUGCAUUAGUGGGCAAGUGGAGCCAGGAAUCAAUCACAGGCAUUCCAUUAUGGGAUGUAGGCAUCUUAACUGCCUUUUCAACUGCCAGGCUACAUGACUGCCGCAGAUUCCCUGGGAUAGGAGCUGGCAGACAAGGAAUCGCCACUUGUUUUUUGAUGUUGAAGAUGAGAGGAAGGUGAAACCACAGAUCCAAGGAGCAUAGGUCCUGAAUCACCUCACAGAUGACCCCCACCAACCGGAAACACCUGUAUGGGGUUGUAAGACUGUCAAAAGAGGCCUGUGAUUGCCUGAACCCUUGGGGACAGUUCUGUAAGGCAGCAGCACCAGAGGCAACAUCAUAAACAGCCACGCCUUUGGAGUCCUUGCUUGGAGUCAGUCAACUUGCCAGGUUUGCUUUUCCUCUUCAUCACCCCUUAGGGGGAACAUAGAGCAACAUGCUGUCGCUUUGAUGCCUCUCUCUACUUAAAUUCCAACCAGAAACCAACCAGUUAGGUUCAGUCAAUGAGAGACAUUAGAGGAAGGAAGUGGAAGAUCGGGGGAACUGGACUUCUCAUCUGUGCAUCUACGUUGGCCUAACGGUGUUGUCCCAGAAGUGGCACUGGGCCUCAGCUCCUUUCCGCACUCUGAGGACUGGCCGCUCUGUAUCCCCUAUAGGAAUCACAGCAUCCAGGCGGUUCCCAUGUCUCAAAGCUCAGCUCCCCUCCUCCACAUGGCCUCUUCUCUGAACCGACAGAUUGCUGCCCUAUCAACUGUUUGCUCUUUAACCCUCUACAUUCCUCCACUGAAUUCCAAGAGUGAAACUCCUGGUGCUGUGAUCAUGCUCUUCAGGGUCCCUCUUUGGAGAUGGCCUCCAAGAAGGAGUUACAUGAUUGGUUUUGUUGUAUGUGUGAGUGUAAACGCAGUGCUGAUACCUUGCUAAUGGAAAUGAAAUGCUAGUAUUUCAUGGCAUGCAGUGGCAUCUCCAUUAAAUGUGACUAACAGUGAUAAA